rfam:Ailuropoda melanoleuca scaffold2498_19, whole genome shotgun sequence.
CCAAAGGCUCUUUUCAGAGCCGCCUACAAUUUCAGGCCGAAGAGCU